GACGAACGCUGGCGGCGUGCUUAACACAUGCAAGUCGAACGGGUCUGCCCUGUUUUUUGCGGGGUGGGUCAGUGGCGAACGGGUGAGUAACACGUGAGUAACCUGCCCCUCACUUCUGGAUAACCGCUUGAAAGGGUGGCUAAUACGGGGUGUUCUGGCUGUGCCGCAUGGUGUGGCUGGGAAAGAUUCACUUUUGUGGUGUUUUGGUGGGGGAUGGGCUCGCGGCCUAUCAGCUUGUUGGUGGGGUGAUGGCCUGCCAAGGCUUUGACGGGUAGCCGGCCUGGGAGGGUGAGCGGUCAGACUGGGACUGAGAUACGGCCCAGACUCCUGCGGGAGGCAGCAGUGGGGGGUAUUGCACAAUGGGCGGAAGCCUGAUGCAGCGACGUCGCGUGAGGGAUGGAGGCCUUCGGGUUGUGAACCUCUUUCGCCGGUGAAGAAGGUCCUGCUCUUUGUGGGGGGGUUGACGGUAGCCGGGUUAUGAAGCGCCGGCCAACUACGUG
rnacentral:rRNA from 1 species